GGGGAGGCAGGUCACUUCCUGCUUCCUGGUGCCUGCCUUGGCUUGGUGGCCAGGGGUGCAGAGACACCUCCUCUUUCUCCGCCGGCCCCGCACGGGGGAAACUGAGGCAGAUCGGGGGUGGGGCAGUCAGAUGGGGAUCGAAGAGGGAGAAUUGCUGUUCGUGUCAAAGCUAAAGUUGAUUGAGGUUGGAGCAUGGGGACUGGGGAGGUUAGCCGGAGUUGUCCCUUGGUCGGAAACCCAGCCCCUUUGGCUGAGUGGAGCUUUGGUCGGGAGCCCAGCCCCUCCGUAGCCCAAGCGAUCGAAGCCUGUGUUCUGAACAUCUGAACAGUGGUGGUGAGAGGAGCCGAGGCCCCGGGAGACGGAGAAGGGACGGAAAAGUGAAGUUGGAAGGAGGUGUUCCACGUUCGCAGAAAGUUUGUUACUUUGUAUAGCACUUAAAAGUACAAAGUAAGAAAAUUGAAGUCAAAGACCAUGGGAGAUGCAGUGAAACCUUAUUUUAUGAAGCGUGCUAAAGACCGAGGGAAUAUAGAUGAUGAAGAUUUCAGAAGGGGUCACCCCCAGCAAGAUUAUUUAACAAUGGAUGAUUAUGCUAAAGGCCACAGCGGUAAAAUGGAAAAAGGCCUUCCAAAAAAAAAAAUAUCACCAGGAAACUAUGGGAAUACCCCCAGAAAAGGACCAUAUGCUGUUUCCAGCAAUCCAUAUGCAUUUAAAAACCCAAUUUAUAGUCAACCUGCUUGGAUAAAUGACAACCACAAAGAUCAGAGUAAGAGAUGGCUAUCUGAUGAACUUGCUGGUAAUUCGGACAGUUGGAGAGAAUUCAAACCUGGACCUAGAAUUCCUAUUAUAAACCGACCAAGGAAAGACUUGUUUCAAGAAAGUGAAGAUGGAUAUAGGUGGCAAGAUGGAAGAGGCUGCAGAACUGUAAGACGAUUAUUUCAUAAAGACCUGACAAGCCUAGAAACCAUGUCAGAAAUGGAAACAGGAAGCCCUGAAAACAAGAAGCAGAGGUCCAGACCUAGGAAGCCACGGAGGACCAGAAAUGAGGAAAAUGAGCAGGACGGAGACCUGGAAGGCCCUGUGAUCGAUGAAUCUGCGCUUUCGACCAAGGAGCUCCUGGGCUUACAGCAGGCCGAGGAGCGGCUGAAGAGAGACUGCAUUGACAGGCUGAAAAGGAAGCCAAGAAACUACCCUACAGCAAAGUACACCUGCAAACUUUGUGAUGUUUUAAUUGAAUCCAUUGCAUUUGCCCAUAAGCAUAUCAAAGAGAAGAGGCACAAGAAAAAUAUUAAGGAGAAGCAGGAGGAAGAGUUGCUCACUACGUUACCCCCGCCUACACCCUCCCAGAUAAAUGCAGUUGGUAUUGCCAUUGAGAAAGUGGUGCAGGAGUUUGGCUUACACAAUGAGAACUUGGAACAGAGACUAGAAAUUAAACGUAUCAUGGAAAAUGUGUUCCAACACAAGUUACCAGAUUGUUCUCUGAGAUUAUAUGGGUCAUCCUGUAGCAGAUUGGGUUUCAAAAAUUCAGAUGUAAACAUUGACAUUCAAUUCCCAGCCAUUAUGUCUCAGCCGGAUGUUCUCUUACUUGUUCAAGAAUGCUUAAAGAACAGUGACUCUUUUCUUGAUGUUGAUGCGGAUUUCCAUGCGAGGGUGCCAGUGGUGGUGUGCAGAGAAAAGCACAGUGGUCUUCUUUGCAAAGUGAGUGCAGGAAAUGAAAAUGCUUGCCUCACAACGAAUCAUUUAACUGCCCUUGGAAAGCUAGAAUCAAGGCUGGUUCCUUUGGUGAUUGCAUUUAGGUACUGGGCAAAGCUUUGCAGUAUAGAUCGCCCUGAAGAAGGAGGUUUGCCACCUUAUGUGUUUGCUCUGAUGGCCGUUUUCUUUCUUCAACAGAGGAAGGAACCCCUUCUGCCUGUUUAUCUAGGAUCAUGGAUUGAAGGAUUCUCAUUAAACAAACUAGGAAACUUCAACCUUAAAGACAUUCAGAAAGACGUUGUGCUUUGGGAAUACAGUGAUAAUGCUGCAGAGGACACAGACACAGCAAAAGAAGAGGCACCAAAAGAAGUGCCCGUUAAAAGGGGACAGGUAUCAUUAACAUUCGAUUUAAAACACCAGCCUUCCGUACCAGUUGGGCAGCUCUGGGUGGAGUUGCUUCGAUUCUAUGCCUUAGAGUUUAAUUUGGCUGAUUUAGUGAUAAGCAUCCGUGUCAAAGAAUCAAUAUCUCGUGAAUCGAAGGAUUGGCCCAAAAAGCGCAUUGCUAUUGAAGAUCCAUACUCUGUUAAAAGAAAUGUGGCAAGGACCCUAAAUAAUCAACCCGUGUUUGAAUAUAUACUUCAUUGUUUAAGGACAACAUAUAAAUAUUUUGCUCUUCCACAUAAAAUUACAAAAUCCAGCCUUCCAAAGCCUCUGAGUACUGUUAUGUGCAUUUCCGAACAUUCUAAAGAAGUAGCAAAGCGUGAUCCAGCUGUGCAAGUAAAAGAUGAUAGGCUCAAAAACUCAAUUUUAGCUCAAGGUUCUGGUGCUGCCAGUUCAACUGCAAACACCUGCAAGGUACAGUCACUUACUCCUAAAGGGACUGCUGCGAGCUUUGAAAGCCCGCCAACACAGGAAAUGGGAAAUGCACACGUCAGUGUCCAUCUGGAAAACUCAGAUUGUAUCAAGGCAGAGGUCGGUUGUGAUGAUUAUGAAGAUAUUAAAGUACACCAUCAAGAAACAGGAGGUAAAACUGGGAAAGAAAAAAUUAAAAGGGAGAGCAAGAAGCAUCUUCUGACUGCCACCAUUCAAGCUUUAAGCAGUAGCAAACAUGGAGAGCUUGUCAUGUGUGGCAGCACACAAAAUGAUGACACAGACAGCACUUUGGAUUUAGAAGGCUUCCAAAAUCCUACGGCUAAAGAGUGUGAUGGAUAUGCUUCUUUAGAUGGCAAGGCUGAUGUUGAUGAAGAAAGCAUGGAAGGUACUGAUGAUCUCGAAGACACGCUAAGCCACUUUGCCCCUUCAAGACAGGGCAGGACGUCAGGAAUCAUUCACUCCGAUGAAGAGGAGGAGGAGGAAGAAGAGGAGGAGGAGGAUGAAGAACCCAGGCUCUCUGUUACCCGAAGGGAAGAUGAGGAUGAUAUUGCUAAUGAAGAUGAGUUAGACAAUAUCUACACUGGAUCAGGGGAUGAAGAUGCCUUGUCUGAAGAGGAUGAGGAAUUAGGCAGGUCUGCUAAGUAUGAAGACUUGAAACAAAGUGGAAAACAUGUAGAUGGAGCUCUACUAAUGGAACUUAAUAAAAUCAGUCUUAAAGAAGAAAACGUACAUGAGGAAAAUUCAGCUGUGCAUCAGUCUGAUUUCUUCUAUGAAUUUAGUAAACUCACCUUCACCAAAGGCAAGUCUCCUAUGGUAGUAUGCAGUUUAUGCAAACGAGAGGGUCAUCUAAAGAAGGACUGUCCCGAAGACUUCAAAAGAAUCCAGCUGGAACCUUUGCCACCAUUAACACCCAAAUUUUCAAAUAUCUUAGAUCAAGUUUGCAUCCAGUGUUAUAAGGAUUUUUCUCCAACUAUUUUAGAAGAUCAGGCUCGUGAACAUAUUCGGCAAAACCUAGAAAGUUUCAUAAGACAGGAGUUUCCAGGAACUAAAUUGAGCUUGUUUGGCUCCUCCAAAAAUGGAUUUGGGUUCAAACAGAGUGACCUUGACGUCUGUAUGACAAUUAAUGGACUUGAAACUGCUGAGGGAUUGGACUGUGUACGAACUAUUGAAGAAUUGGCAAGAGUCCUCAAAAAACAUUCAGGUCUGAGAAACAUCUUGCCUAUUACCACAGCAAAGGUGCCAAUUGUAAAGUUCUUCCAUUUGAGAAGUGGGCUGGAAGUGGACAUCAGUUUGUAUAACACAUUGGCCCUUCAUAACACAAGGCUCUUAUCUGCUUAUUCAGCCAUUGAUCCCAGAGUGAAAUAUUUGUGCUAUACCAUGAAAGUAUUUACAAAGAUGUGCGACAUUGGUGACGCGUCAAGAGGCAGCUUGUCGUCCUAUGCAUACACGCUUAUGGUGCUCUAUUUCCUCCAGCAGAGGAACCCGCCAGUCAUUCCUGUCCUUCAGGAGAUAUACAGAGGUGAAAAGAAACCUGAAAUAUUUGUUGAUGGCUGGAAUAUUUAUUUUUUUGAUCAAAUAGAUGAACUGCCCUCCUAUUGGCCAGAAUAUGGAAAAAAUACAGAAUCUGUUGGGCAGCUAUGGUUGGGUCUUCUUCGUUUCUACACAGAGGAAUUUGAUUUUAAAGAACAUGUUAUUAGCAUCAGGAGAAAAAGUCUGCUUACAACUUUUAAGAAACAGUGGACUUCAAAAUACAUUGUUAUUGAAGAUCCUUUUGAUUUGAAUCAUAAUCUUGGAGCUGGAUUAUCAAGGAAAAUGACAAAUUUUAUAAUGAAAGCAUUUAUUAAUGGUAGAAGAGUAUUCGGUAUUCCAGUCAAAGGAUUUCCAAAGGACUACCCCUCAAAAAUGGAGUACUUUUUUGAUCCAGAUGUGCUAACUGAAGGAGAGCUGGCCCCAAAUGAUAGAUGUUGCCGAAUUUGUGGGAAAAUUGGACACUUCAUGAAGGAUUGUCCUAUGAGGAGAAAAGUGAGGCGGCGGCGAGAUCAGGAUGAUACCCUGAACCAAAGAUACCCUGAGAACAAAGAGAAAAGAAGCAAAGAGGACAAGGAAAUUCAGAACAAGUACACAGAGAGGGAGGCAUCAACAAAGGAAGAUAAACCCGCACAGUGCACCCCUCAGAAAGCCAAGCCAGUGAGGGCAGCCGGCGACCUGGGGAGAGAGAGACUUCUCAGGCCACCGGCGGAGAAAUGGAAGAGGCAGGACGACAAAGACUUAAGAGAAAAGCGCUGUUUUAUUUGUGGAAGAGAAGGGCACAUUAAAAAGGAAUGCCCACAGUUUAAAGGCUCUGCAGGCUACCCUCAGAAGAACUCAAGGUCUGUGUUUACUCAUAGCAUGAAGUACAUUAUCACUGUGUUCCUCUCUGGUACGGCCAAGUGGGGAAGGAAUGCCCCUGCGCUCCCCCAGCUUUCAUGGAUUUCUUCCUUCCAGCUAGUAGCUAAGUUGUCUACUAGUGACGCCGCUCAAAAUACAGCAGUGAUUCUGGCAGGCGGGGGGCAGCAAUCCAAGAGAGAGGGGGUAUCUUGGGGUGGGGGCGGGGUGUUAUCAAACCUAAAGGAGAGCGCUAGAGUCUUGGUUUCUUCAGAAUGCAGUAGUUCCACAUUGUCAAGUAGUUAUCAUAUUAGAAAAGUAAAGUAAGACGGGAGGAGUGGGGCUGGAGUAGGGUGGACUUCCUCCAGCAGCAAUUCAAAAUAAUCAGCUGCUUCUUCCUGUCUGAAAAUUGUGCUGCUCCCUCAUUUCUUCAAAUGUGUUAUUUUUUUGUCCACAUGAUAUAUACUGAGUGGAGCUUCUGUAACAUCAGCAGAAAGUCUUUCUGUGGAAGUGGGAAAACGGCCAGUGCUUUCAGUUUAAAGUAGGAACAAAAAGUGCUGAUUUCUUUCUCAGGUUUGUCUAAAUCAGAUUGUGUGUUUGGAUCCCCUUCGUCAGCUAGCCCUUUGAGACCAGCUGGCACGUUUGUCCAGGCAGUGCUUUUACAUGAAGACAAAAAGAAACAAAAAACAACUGUAUUUUUGAGUCCCCAGUCAGGUAGCCUUUCCAGUAAAUAUAUGACUCAGGGAAAAGCCUCAGCGAAGAGGACCCAGCAGGAAUCAUGAGGGAAGGAAAUGCAGCACUCUCAGUGGCCACUCGGGCGUGCCUGUUCACUUUGAAAAUUAGGUUCAUUUCACAGGACACAGCAGCGUAGAUCAGGCUUCAACUUAAUAUUUAAGGGAAAUGUCAGAUUUUUUUAACUUAAUGAAAUUGUUAAUGAGGAAAAAAAAUUUUAAUAUAAUCUUACCUACCACAAAUCCCCAUAGAUUCAAGGAUUUUAAUGGAAAGCCAUGACGUAUGUAUUUAAGCCAGGUUUAAAAAAAAAAGUUAACUAUGGGCCAGUAUUUACUGAAUACAAUUUCAUGGUUUUUAAUUCUUUCAAAGCACACUGAGAAUGGUGUGCUGAUAAACCCCAAGGAAUUAACCCUUUUUUCCCCUAUAAAUCCCUUUUGUUUUGAAGAGGGGAAAUUAUAUUUAUUGUUGUUUACUGAAUCCUUGUGUGAAAGCGUAUCAAAUAUGUGUGAACUGCUACUACUGUAUUUACAAUUUACAAACUUUAUUUUAUUGAUAUUUGUAGAAGUGAUAACGAACAUGAGUACCUAUUUAUGUGAGCCUUCCAUGGAUGAGCAGUGCCACUGAGGGGCUUGUGUUUUUCCCUCUCUAAUUUUAAGUGAGUUGACAUAUAAGUACUAUGCUCAUAAAAAUGAAGUAAGGAAAACAAGUCGUCCUGUUUGCUGCUAAAAACAUUUUCAAAGGAAAAAUGACAAAAUAAAAGUGCUUUUUACUUUUUAUGAUAUUCAA